rnacentral:lncRNA from 1 species
CUCGACCAAGUCUUAACCAUACUCGACCUAGUCUGAGCCAUACUCGACCAAGUCUUAACCAACCUAGACCUAUUCUUUGUAUCUAUCAACUGAAUUUUAUCAAUUUAGGAUUUUUUUAAAAUAAAAAUGAAAUUUGAACAACAAAUUGAAAUUAAAAAUGUAUUCAAUACAGUAUUGAAAUUAAAAUUUCACAAUAAUCAAUCAUAAUAUAACGUCAACACAAUAUUAAUCAAC